rnacentral:rRNA from 1 species
ACUGGUGAGUAACACGUAUGCGACCUGCCCCGGACAGGGGGAUAAACCCGGGAAACUGGGCCUAAUACCCCAUACGCCUUAUGAUCGCAUGGUCAUUAGGUGAAAGAUCCGUCGGUCCGGGAUGGGCAUGCGGCGCAUUAGCUUGUUGGCGGGGCAACGGCCCACCAAGGCGACGAUGCGUAGGGGUUCUGAGAGGAAGGUCCCCCACACUGGUACUGAGACACGGACCAGACUCCUACGGGAGGCAGCAGUGAGGAAUAUUGGUCAAUGGACGCGAGUCUGAACCAGCCAAGUCGCGUGCGGGAAGAAGGCCCUCCGGGUCGUAAACCGCUUUAGCCGGGGAGUAACGUGGGGGACGCGUCCCUCAGUGAGAGUACCCGGAGAAUAAGCAUCGGCUAACUCCGUGCCAGCAGCCGCGGUAAUACGGAGGAUGCGAGCGUUAUCCGGAUUUAUUGGGUUUAAAGGGUGCGCAGGCGGCAUGUCAAGUCAGCGGUCAAAAUGCGGCGCUCAACGCCGUACCGCCGUUGAAACUGGCGCGCUGGAGUUUGUGCGAGGAUGGCGGAAUGCGCGGUGUAGCGGUGAAAUGCAUAGAUAUCGCGCAGAACCCCGAUUGCGAAGGCAGCUGUCCAGCACACUACUGACGCUCAUGCACGAAAGCGUGGGUAUCGAACAGGAUUAGAUACCCUGGUAGUCCACGCGGUAAACGAUGAUAACUAGUUAUCCGGCCCGAUUGGGGGUUGGGUGACCGAGCGAAAGCGUUAAGUUAUCCACCUGGGGAGUACGCCGGCAACGGUGAAACUCAAAGGAAUUGACGG